CCCACUAUCAUUCCAUUCAAACAAGCAGCCAAACACCCCCCCCCUCGAUCUCCUUCUCCUCUCUGACAGAACCCCGAUGACCGGAAUGAAGCUCCGGCCGAUGUUCCACCUGCAACAACCCCCCCCCCCCCUCGUCGGCAAAUAGGACCACCACCACCGUGCGGUGGUGGUGAACGGCGGCAGCGGAACCAGAAGAGAGAGAGGCUGAGCAGGAGAGAGAGAGAGAGAGAGAGAGAGAGCCGGAGAUAGGAGGAGCACCGCCGCUCACGGCAACGGCGGCGGUGGAGGCGACGACGGGUGUCUCUCGCCGGCGUCACAUCAUGGUCCGGCGAUGGUGAUUGUUUGACGGAAACAAUGGAUGCUAUUUAUGUUGAAGACGGUGAUGGUGGUAGCUUCGGGUGUUCGACUCAGCUCCGGUGACGGCUGUGGAAUAAUGGUGGUGCUGAUAUUCGAUUUCAGAUUAUGGUGCGGGUCAAGUAUGGUUCGAGUAUUCCAGCAGGUUAAGCGGGUCUCAACUUAGUCAACCCGAGUCAACUCGGUUGACUCGGUCAACACACAGUCGGAACGGGUCAGACCUGGAGCCGGUCAACUCAGUCGAACGAGCGGCUUUCGGUUGGAGUUUGGGUUUUGGUUUGGCUUGCUUUAGUGUGAUUCAACUCGGUUGACUCGGUCAAACCGAGUCAACUCAGUCAAGCUCAGUCAACAGCGAGUCAACUCGGUCAAACCGAGUUAACUUGAUAAACCCAGUCACGUUCUAACGCGAUAGUUAUGGUAAAGGUUUAACGGCAAAAGUUGUUUUGUUAUUUUCAUAUAAUAUUACGUGAACGAGCUCGAACCGAUUUAAUUUA